GUCCCUGUAGCGCAAUGAACAGCGCGUUGGACUUCUAAUCCAAAGGUCAUGGGUUCGAAUUCCACUUGGAAUA